rnacentral:lncRNA from 1 species
UAAGUUUAGAAAUCACAAGCAAAGAAUAUUUUGAAAGGGGAGAGAGAUUUGAAAUUUAAGAAGAGGAAGGAGAUGAAGAGACUAAUCCUAAGCAAAAAUUUAAAAGUUAAGAGUUAAAAAGAUCUAACCAAUGGGAUGCAAUCCAAUAGACAAAAGUGUCAUAUAGAAACCCACUUUUCCUUUGGACUUUGGAAUCAAGCAACGUCAAUAAACAAGAAUCGAAAUGAAGAGCAAGGCAUCAAAUAAAUAUAGUCAA